rnacentral:rRNA from 1 species
GACGAACGCUGGCGGCGUGCUUAACACAUGCCAGUCGAACGGUAAGGCCCUUCGGGGUACACGAGUGGCGAACGGGUGAGUAACACGUGGGUGAUCUGCCCUGCACUUCGGGAUAAGCCUAGGAAACUGGGUCUAAUACCGGAUAGGACUCCGGACUGCAUGGUCUGGGGUGGAAAGCUUUUGCGGUGUGGGAUGGGCCCGCGGCCUAUCAGCUUGUUGGUGGGGUGAUGGCCUACCAAGGCGACGACGGGUAGCCGGCCUGAGAGGGUGACCGGCCACACUGGGACUGAGAUACGGCCCAGACUCCUACGGGAGGCAGCAGUGGGGAAUAUUGCACAAUGGGCGCAAGCCUGAUGCAGCGACGCCGCGUGAGGGAUGACGGCCUUCGGGUUGUAAACCUCUUUCAGCAUCGACGAAGCGAAAGUGACGGUAGGUGCAGAAGAAGGACCGGCCAACUACGUGCCAGCCGCCGCGGUAG